CCAAUAGCGUAUAUUAAAGUUGUUGCAGUUAAAAGGCUCGUAGUUGAACUUCGGGGUCUACCCAUUGGUCAGGCUUAAUUGUCUGCACUGGUGAGAUGGAUCUCUACCUUCUGAGGAACUUUCAUGCCAUUUAUUUGGUGUGAUGGGAAAUCAGGACUGUUACUUUGAAAAAAUUAGAGUGUUUAAAGCAGACUAUCGUCUGAAUACAUUAGCAUGGAAUAAUGAAAUAGGACGGACUGAUUCUAUUUCGUUGGUUUCUAGGAUCACCGUAAUGAUUAAUAGGGAUAGUUGGGGGCAUUAGUAUUCAAUUGUCAGAGUUGAAAUUCUUGGAUUUAUUGAAGACUAACUACUGCGAAAGCAUUUGCCAAGGAUGUUUUCAUUAAUCAAGAACGAAAGUUAGGGGAUCGAAGACGAUCAGAUACCGUCGUAGUCUUAACCAUAAACUAUGCCGACUAGGGAUCGGAUGAUGUUAAUUUUAUAAUGACUCAUUCGGCGCCUUACG
rnacentral:rRNA from 1 species